GACGAACGCUGGCGGCGUGCUUAACACAUGCAAGUCGAACGGAAAGGCCCUGCUUUUGUGGGGUGCUCGAGUGGCGAACGGGUGAGUAACACGUGAGUAACCUGCCCUUGACUUUGGGAUAACUUCGGGAAACUGGGGCUAAUACCGGAUAGGAGCUCCUGCUGCAUGGUGGGGGUUGGAAAGUUUCGGCGGUUGGGGCUGGACUCGCGGCUUAUCAGCUUGUUGGUGGGGUAGUGGCUUACCAAGGCUUUGACGGGUAGCCGGCCUGGGAGGGUGACCAGCCACAUUGGGACUGAGAUACGGCCCAGACUCCUACGGGAGGCAGCAGUGGGGAAUAUUGCACAAUGGGCGGAAGCCUGAUGCAGCAACGCCGCGUGCGGGAUGACGGCCUUCGGGUUGUAAACCGCUUUCGCCUGUGACGAAGCGUGAGUGACGGUAAUGGGUAAAGAAGCACCGGCUAACUACGUG
rnacentral:rRNA from 1 species